ensembl:lncRNA
AGAACGAUCAGUGUACAGUCAUGGGGAGAAGUUGCUCUAUCAAAGGAAAGAGGGUAAGAGGGAAGGCAACACUCCAGCUGCAGCUGGAAUUCAGAAAGGAACAGAAGGGUGGACUGAGUGACUGCAUGAAAAACAAUCUCUGUGCAUAUUGCAAGGACUGCUCUGGAAAUAAUGCCUCAUAAUUCACCACAUUGACCCACGACAUCAGAGUUGGAUGUUGGCAGGGUGGCAAUAGACACUGAGCCUUCCCACCAAUAUUUCAUUAAACUUUGUUGCUGUGUGACAGAUUGCUGCAGAGGGGCAGUCUGACAAAAUGGAGCCUGACAUAGAAGUGCAGAUGAGGCAAAUGGGUGUCAUUGAGUUCUUCCACUUGGAAAAAAAAUGGCAUUCACUGACUUUCAUUUACACUUGCUAAAUAUUUAUGGAGACCAAACUGUGGAUUGACAAUGUUCAUGUCCUCUCAGGAGUGAAGCGAAGAACCUGGUCCUGAACAGAAUAAACUGAGCUAAUAUAUCCGUGUGAAUGAGGUGUCCUCUCUCCUUUGAAACAACCUUGUUCAUCCUGAUAACUAACACCUUUGUAGGCUUAAAUCUUCUACAGAUCUGAUGGCAGGCAUUUGAUCACAUUUCAGGAACAAUUUGUAAUAAGUAUUAAAGAGCUGUUCCAAUUUGCUUUUAAGUAAGUCAUGGAGACUAAUGAGUUCUGUGGGCCUGGGAUCCCAAUAAAGAAUGGAAUUUCAGAAUGAAAAACACAGCAAGAAAGUAAAUGCUGACUACCAGACAGGCUGAAUGUCGUCUGGAUGCCAGGGUUACUGCGAAGAGGAGUUAUUCUGAGAUCUACCAUGGUAUAUGAAACACAGAUCGUCUAGAAGAACUUAAUGACUUUACAUUGUCUCAGCUGAUGUGGACUGAUUAUAUAGUGAAAUAGAAGGAAAAAGACUUUCUGACAUUUGUUUUUCCAAACCUGGUGCUGCUUUUUCCCUUAGUGAAAAUUUGCAUGAUUUCUCAGAGCCUGCUUCUUUCUCACAAUAAACAAUGCAAAGCCCUCUUGCCAAAAAAAUGUCCAAAUGCUAAGCAGUUGCUAUUAUAGUCAUUAUUAUAAUAGCAACUUCGAGCUAUGUGCUUUUAAAUUAUAUUAUUUUUACAAAAGAUUUUUAUGUGUCUUGAUUGCAGUAAUUAUGGUUCUAUAGUAAUAAAUGUGUAUUUAAACAGUCAUGUUAUCUUAUUGCUCCAAAUAAACAAGUUCCCUCAACUGAACUUCG